ACCUGGGUGGCUCAGUCUGUUGAGCGUCUGACUUCGGCUCAGGUCAUGAUCUCGCGGUCUGUGGGUUCAAGCCCCGCAUCGGGCU
rnacentral:tRNA from 1 species